UUGCUCUCUGAUGGCGAGUGGCGAACGGGUGAGUAAUAUAUCGGAACGUGCCUAGUAGUGGGGAACAACCAGCCGAAAGGUUGGCUAAUACCGCAUACGACCUACGGGUGAAAGCAGGGGAUCUUCGGACCUUGCGCUAUUAGAGCGGCCGAUAUCUGAUUAGGUAGUUGGUGGGGUAAAGGCCUACCAAGCCGACGAUCAGUAGCUGGUCUGAGAGGACGAUCAGCCACACUGGAACUGAGACACGGUCCAGACUCCUACGGGAGGCAGCAGUGGGGAAUUUUGGACAAUGGGGGAAACCCUGAUCCAGCCAUUCCGCGUGAGUGAAGAAGGCCUUCGGGUUGUAAAGCUCUUUCGCAAGGGAAGAAAUUUUAUUGUCGAAUAAACAGUAAAGAUGACGGUACCUUGAGAAGAAGCACCGGCUAACUACGUGCCAGCAGCCGCGGUAAUACGUAGGGUGCGAGCGUUAAUCGGAAUUACUGGGCGUAAAGCGUGCGCAGGCGGUCUUAUAAGUCAGAUGUGAAAUCCCCGAGCUCAACUUGGGAACUGCGUUUGAAACUGUAAGACUAGAGUGUGUCAGAGGGAGGUAGAAUUCCACGUGUAGCAGUGAAAUGCGUAGAGAUGUGGAGGAAUACCAAUGGCGUAGGCAGCCUCCUGGGAUAACACUGACGCUCAUGCACGAAAGCGUGGGGAGCAAACAGGAUUAGAUACCCUGGUAG
rnacentral:rRNA from 1 species